UCCUCGAUAGCUCAGUCGGUAGAGCAAGUGACUGUUAAUCACUGGGUCGCAGGUUCGAGUCCUGCUCGAGGAG
rfam:Halomonas desiderata SP1 contig_65, whole genome shotgun sequence.